rnacentral:rRNA from 1 species
GUCGGGAAUUUUGGGCAAUGGGCGAAAGCCUGACCCAGCAACGCCGCGUGAAGGAUGAAGUAUUUCGGUAUGUAAACUUCGUAAGAAUAGGAAGAAUAAAUGACGGUACUAUUUGUAAGGUCCGGCUAACUACGUGCCAGCAGCCGCGGUAAUACGUAGGGACCAAGCGUUGUUCGGAUUUACUGGGCGUAAAGGGCGCGUAGGCGGCGUGGUAAGUCAGCUGUGAAAUCUCCGAGCUUAACUCGGAACGGUCAGCUGAUACUGCUGUGCUAGAGUACAGAAAGGGCAAUCGGAAUUCUUGGUGUAGCGGUGAAAUGCGUAGAUAUCAAGAGGAACACCUGAGGCGAAGGCGGGUUGCUAGGCUGAUACUGACGCUGAGGCGCGAAAGCUAGGGUAGCAAACGGGAUUAGAUAUCCCUGUAGUCC